rnacentral:rRNA from 1 species
GACGAACGCUGGCGGCGCGCUUAACACAUGCAAGUCGAACGGAAAGGCCUGCUUUCCCUUGUGGAUUGCGGGUACUCGAGUGGCGAACGGGUGAGUAACACGUGAGUGAUCUGCCCCCAACUUGGGUAUAAGCCUGGGAAACUGGGUCUAAUUCCCGAUAGGACUGCAGGGUGGUGCCUGUGGUGGAAAACGAUUUUCUAGUGGUUGGGGAUGAGCUCGCGGCCUAUCAGCUUGUUGGUGGGGUAAUGGCCUACCAAGGCGGCGACGGGUAGCCGGCCUGGGAGGGUGGACGGCCACAUUGGGACUGAGAUACGGCCAAGACUCCUACGGGAGGCAGCAGUGGGGAAUAUUACACAAUGGGCGGAAGCCUGAUGCAGCGACGCCGCGUGGGGGAUGACGGCCUUCGGGUUGUAACCUCCUUUCGACCGCGAGGAAGCCACCUGGUUGGAAGGGUGGUGACGGUAGUGGUAGAAGAAGCACCGGCUAACUACGUG